rnacentral:rRNA from 1 species
AGCGGCGGACGGGUGAGUAAUGCCUGGGAAAUUGCCCUGAUGUGGGGGAUAACCAUUGGAAACGAUGGCUAAUACCGCAUAAUAGCUUCGGCUCAAAGAGGGGGACCUUCGGGCCUCUCGCGUCAGGAUAUGCCCAGGUGGGAUUAGCUAGUUGGUGAGGUAAGGGCUCACCAAGGCGACGAUCCCUAGCUGGUCUGAGAGGAUGAUCAGCCACACUGGAACUGAGACACGGUCCAGACUCCUACGGGAGGCAGCAGUGGGGAAUAUUGCACAAUGGGCGCAAGCCUGAUGCAGCCAUGCCGCGUGUAUGAAGAAGGCCUUCGGGUUGUAAAGUACUUUCAGCAGUGAGGAAGGUAGUGCAGUUAAUAGCUGCAUUAUUUGACGUUAGCUGCAGAAGAAGCACCGGCUAACUCCGUGCCAGCAGCCGCGGUAAUACGGAGGGUGCGAGCGUUAAUCGGAAUUACUGGGCGUAAAGCGCAUGCAGGUGGUUUGUUAAGUCAGAUGUGAAAGCCCGGGGCUCAACCUCGGAAUUGCAUUUGAAACUGGCAGA